rnacentral:rRNA from 1 species
GACGAACGCUGGCGGCGUGCUUAACACAUGCAAGUCGAACGGAAAGGCCCUGCUUUUGUGGGGUGCUCGAGUGGCGAACGGGUGAGUAACACGUGAGUAACCUGCCCUUGACUUUGGGAUAACUUCAGGAAACUGGGGCUAAUACCGGAUAGGAGCUCCUGCUGCAUGGUGGGGGUUGGAAAGUUUCGGCGGUUGGGGAUGGACGCGCGGCUUAUCAGCUUGUUGGUGGGGUAGUGGCUUACCAAGGCUUUGACGGGUAGCCGGCCUGAGAGGGUGACCGGCGACAUUGGGACUGAGAGACGGCCCAGACUCCUACGGGAGGCAGCAGUGGGGAAUAUUGCACAAUGGGCGGAAGCCUGAUGCGGCAACGCCGCGUGCGGGAUGACGGCCUUCGGGUUGUAAACCGCUGUCGCCUGUGACGAAGCGGGAGUGACGGUAAUGGGUAAAGAAGCACCGGCUAACUACGUG